ACACACGAGUUGUUGCGGGAACCUUGAGCGUAUUACCGAACUAUUGUGAACUAUGGUACUGGCAUACCCAUGACUCUAGACCUCUAACCUCUCAGAUACCUAUCUGGUCGGUGUAUCCUUGCAUCAUAAAAAUCCACACUUAUGCUAACUACCCACCAGGCCUGAAGAAAUUUACGGUCUCCCCGAGCCGGUGUUUAUAUGGUAAAACCUUUUUUUCUCGUAGGCCAGAGCUACUACCAGAUUGUUCAAAAAUAAUAGGAAAAAUGCAAGGAGGAUACAGCCAGUGGCUGCAAGAGGACCCAAAAUGGAAAAAACAGUGAACCCGUACGAUGCUGAAUGGAACAUAGCACUGUCACUAAGAGCCUUUGUUUCCAACCCGACUUGCAUGGCAGCGAGGACAAUAGCAGCGUAUACUGUUGCGGAUGCUAACCAUGUGAAGUUGUCCCGAAAGAAGGUCUUGUAUUCCUGCCAGUGUCUGGUAUAACCGCCCAGAAACGGGCGCUGGGUAAAACGAUAUAUGUUAUUCAGACGGCUCAGGCGAAGCUCUCCGUAUAUGAAUCGGGGGUUGAUGUUCGGGUAGAUGUGUGCCGUGUCAAGUUGUUCAACAAAAGUUCUCCAUCCUUGCCAUGUCAAUCGGUCCUCCCCCGAUGGGAGCAGGCGUUUGUCCUUGGCAAUGUAAAAAUCGCUCUCGUGGGAGAUCAGUGCGGCAUAGGAGUACAGGAAUCCCAGUGCAGACUUUCGCAAUUUUCGAUGGGAACACUCCUGGCUGUGUGCUGGUGAGCCAACUGCACCCUCAUGAUCAAGGCAUUUGCAAUCGUCUCGGCAGGAAAGAUAUUCGGACCAGAAAUUGGGCUCAAGAAGGAAGCGUGGGAUGGGCUUGAGGUAUACUCGACCCUCCGCCCAGACAAGAUGCAUGUCCAUCUGCUCCGUGACGAAGAUUUCGCGCCCAAGUAGGAGCUGGUAGUGAAGAGGUCGGGGAGGCAUGGGUCGACCAACUACCCACAGCCAUUUGAAAAUUUUAUUCAAUCUACGCACAUCAAGCUCUUUUUCCAUGCAGGCCAUAUAAUCAUAGCUCGGGGCAGCAAGGUCAUCAGUGCUUGUGCGGUACGAUGCAGGGAAGACAGCCCAGAGCUUGUCAUUCCUGCUUUGAGAAGGGGUGGUAGCGUCGUUCGAUCCACCUCCCAGAAGCCGAAUCGAGAAGGGAGGCGGCUGUACGUAAAAUGUCAGUUUUUCUGCUU
rnacentral:sRNA from 2 species